UGCAGUCGAGCGAACGGAUAAAGGAGCUUGCUCCUUUGAAGUUAGCGGCGGACGGGUGAGUAACACGUGGGUAACCUACCUAUAAGACUGGGAUAACUUCGGGAAACCGGAGCUAAUACCGGAUAACAUUUAGAACCGCAUGGUUCUAAAGUGAAAGAUGGUUUUGCUAUCACUUAUAGAUGGACCCGCGCCGUAUUAGCUAGUUGGUAAGGUAACGGCUUACCAAGGCGACGAUACGUAGCCGACCUGAGAGGGUGAUCGGCCACACUGGAACUGAGACACGGUCCAGACUCCUACGGGAGGCAGCAGUAGGGAAUCUUCCGCAAUGGGCGAAAGCCUGACGGAGCAACGCCGCGUGAGUGAUGAAGGGUUUCGGCUCGUAAAACUCUGUUAUUAGGGAAGAACAAAUGUGUAAGUAACUGUGCACAUCUUGACGGUACCUAAUCAGAAAGCCACGGCUAACUACGUGCCAGCAGCCGCGGUAAUACGUAGGUGGCAAGCGUUAUCCGGAAUUAUUGGGCGUAAAGCGCGCGUAGGCGGUUUCUUAAGUCUGAUGUGAAAGCCCACGGCUCAACCGUGGAGGGUCAUUGGAAACUGGGAAACUUGAGUGC
rnacentral:rRNA from 1 species